GCACUUGCUUCAGCAGUUGCAUUUACUGAAAAUGGAAUGAUACAGAAAUUAUCAGCAUGGCCCUGCACAAGGAUGACAUGAAAAUUUGUAAAGUGUUCCAUAUUUUU